UUUCAGAGCGCGGACGACCUCCAUGUGCACCUAUGGAGGGAUGAACCUAGACGGGCUGACAGGUAGGUACAGACUGAGGGAAGCCUAGACGAAAAACGAUGCCGCCCAGAACACUAACUCGGGCGGUCGCACAUCCGAGGACGCCAGCAGCAGAUAGAAGAUCUCCUGUGGGAGCCCAGGCAUCAGGGCAACAUUGGCGAUGAGGCCAACUGAGCCCGAAUGGAGAUUUAUCAUGGGAAUUCCAUUCGGGCCGGAGAGGUCAUCGGGCUGCGCCACACGGGGGAUGCGGAAGAAGGCCACCUGCCCGUUAGGCCCUAGCAGCAGAACGUGCAUGUUGCCGGCCGCCACGUGCAUUUGAAUCGUAGCAGGUCACGGAAACCUAUAGUGAGACACCACGACGAUGACAGGUUCAUGCUUGGAGGCGUCGGGAGCAGGGGUACGAUGGUCUUGAAGGAGGCAGGCCAGCUUUAAGGGGGUGGCUUCAUGGCACUCGGCAAGGAGAGCCGACAUGGGUGUCGAGACAGGAUUGGUCAUCGCUUCACCAGACCCUCGGCGAUAGCCGAGCCCAAAAGAGGCAUAGGCAGCAGCACAACAUGUGAAGCAGCGCCAUGCGGAGAGGGAGCAUCCGGCAGCGCGCCAGGAGCUGGCGGGCUGUUGAGAGCGCCACCCCUCACGCCCUUAGCUGGAGGACAUUAAGGAGGCGAAGGCGAAGGCGAAGAUGACGGCGUGCCGCGACCCUCGCCCCAGUGUCAAAUGUAGCGGACCGAUGCAUGGUGCCAGAGCCAGAGGAGUUCUUCACCUGCAGCUCCUUCAGGAUGUCCAUGAAGCACUCAAAGCAAGCUGUGACGAGCACCGCAGUGAAAUCAGCCCCAGUCAGAGAGAGAUGGGACACAUCUAGUGGGUUUGCCAUGACCCCCAGAGCCACAUGAACAUGGCAGCUAUUCCAGUGCUCGAUGGGAAAAAUCUUCCAGCGUGAGAUCGGCAUACCCAGCAUGCUGGAAAUGGAACCUGUUGUCCGAAUCUUCAUGGCGCUCGAAGGUGAUGGUGUGCUCCAGGAUGCGAGGCGGCUCCUCGUCACAGACGAACCCACGGUCUGCAUGGGUGUCGAAGCAGACCACAGCCGAGUCGCAUACGGACGACAGAACGUAGUGGUGGUGCUCGCGCGCCGCAUCCACCUCCAAGAGCGCCCUGCGGACAAGCACCGAUUGAGCCUGUGGCCGACGGAGGAUCCACGAAGGAGUAAGCGAAGCGGUUGAAAGCAUUCAUGUCUACGGGGGGCAUGAACACCUCUUUGUGCUCCGGGAGGUAGAACUCCAAAUCGUCGGCGUCAAGGGGGGCAGGGGAGAUGGGCGGUUGCUCGGCGACAAGCUGUUGAAAUUCUUAAGUACCAAAAUCUGAUGCUUGCGUAAUUCAGCUAUUGCGUUGUGUUAUCUAUGCCAUUUGAUUACACACCGAUGAUAUGAUUCAAAUUGCGCGAGUUUCACCUCUGGGGCCUUCACAAUUCACAGCACUUGCUGUAAGUCUGGAGUAUUUGUUGCAGCUUGUGACAAUGUUCCUUCUCGCCGUCUGUGCAGCACGAUUUGAGUGACUUGCACUCCAAGUAGCAAACAACUUUCAGUAUUUGAUGUGGUCUAAAGUUCCAGUCAACUAAUGGCUUCUAUAUUUGAUUAACUUUCCCUUUCAUGACAUACCACUCAUUGAUCUAGUCUCAUAUGUCAACAUGCUUUCAUUUUUCAAUUUUUUUUUUAAAUUAAUGUGUCAACAAACUUAGGAAAGAAAAUAUUGGUUGAAGGGAAGCUUCUUGGAUACUGCCCUGGUCUCUAUCCACAUCUUUCUUGGCAACCUCUCAGGGAUAUUUAUAUAAUACCAGCACUGGAGCAUCCUCUACUUCUACCCAUCCAUUUGUUCAAGAGCUUUGAAGUUUCUAGUUCUAGUUUGCUUUGUUGUAAAUUAAGUAGCACACACAUGGAGGUGCAGGAGGGAAGGAAAGGGAUACCAACUUUGCUCUCCUCCCAGGGGGAGUGCAUUGCAUCCAACAUCACACAGCUAAUCGGUUGGACACCACUGAUAGAACUGAAAAAUAUUGCCAAGAAGGAUGGCAUAAAUGCUCGGCUGAUUGGCAAGAUUGAGCCGUACCAGCCCCUUUCCUCUGUGAAGGAUAGAAGCGCUCUCAGAUUGAUCGAAGAUGCAGAGGAGAAAAGCUUGAUCUCACCUGGCAUCACAACACUAGUGACGGUCACGAGCGGUAAUCUCGGUAUUGGCGUGGCAUUUGUUGCUGCUCAGAAAGGCUACAAGUCCAUUGUCGUCAUGCCAGCUAAAGUCGCCAUAGAUAAGCAGAUAUUGUUGAGAUACUUGGGCAUUGAAGUGAUAUUAGUCGGUAAAAAGCUAAGCACAAUGUCCAUUAUACCAAUGGAGCAAUUCUCAGAUGGAACCUACUUGUAUCUUGCAGAUCCUGCACUAAAGGGAUUCAAGGGGCUACUUGAUAGAGUCGAACAGCUGAAGAAGGAAAUGGAAAAUAUUUAUGUUGUGGAUCAGUUCACUAAUCCUGCGAAUCCUGAUGCGCAUUUCAGAUGGACUGGACCUGAGAUAUGGAGGGAUACAGAAGGCAAAGUAGAUAUAUUUGUCACCGGGUCUGGCUCUGGAGGCACCUUGACAGGCACAGGGAGGUUUCUCAAGAUGAAGAAUCCAUCUGUAAAGCUAAUCUGCGUUGAACCAGCUGAAAGCGCGGUAAUUUCAGGUGGUGAGCCAGCGUUCCAUAACAUACAAGGAAUAGGCCCAGGAUUUGUCCCGGAAACACUGGACACAUCACAAAUAGAUGAAAUCUUAACAGUGACCACACAAGAAGCUAUGGACAUGGCGAGAAGGUUGGCAAGGGAGGAAGGACUGCUCGUCGGCAUAUCUUCAGGGGCAAAUGCCGCUGCCUGCUUAAAGGUGGCAGCAAGAGAGGAGAACAAGGGCAAGAUGAUCGUGACGAUGUUCUCCAGCGGUGGGGAGAGGUACCUGCACUCAGAACUGUUUGCGCAGGUGAAGGAGGAAUGCGUCAAAAUCAACAUGGCCUUCUGAAUGUUCUGAUCCUGAAGCACCAUGCUGUCUACGGUCUACCUUUCAAGAUUUUCAUGUGAAUUGUAGUCACACUCGUUGCUUAGAGCGGUAUUUGCUUGCCCACAUCGUGCUGCUCACGCGAAAUUGUCCAGACGCAUAUAUUUUGCAGCCUUGUUCUUGACAGAUAUAAGAAGAUGGGAAAAUUAUUUGAUCUGAAACGAGGAGACGAUAUGGUGGCUUACAUUUCAAAAAUUUGCCGCGAUCGCCUGACCACCAGGGCGCUGCUGCAUCAUCGAGGAACUGCCGCCUCUCCGCUCUGUGCCUCAUGCGGCCUCGUGAAGUCGGGUCCCGAAUCGGCGGUCUGGACGUCUGCGCUCUGCCUUCAGCCUGUGAUGCUUGGGAAUGCAGCACAUUGACGCAGGGCCUACCCUUCAAGAUCAAGUCCACGGCCUUCAACCUCGAUGCAUAUUCGAUGACGGCCAUAGUACAUGUAACAUGUACCUACAUGGAUGCACCUGAGGCAACAACUUCAUUCUACUCUUUAUCAAUAUCACUCAGAAGCAGCUGUAGCCUUUGGAAUGACGGGAGGUUGAUACAACCAAAACAGCUGCAAGCUUUGCUGCAAGUACAUGUGGCUGUGCUGGUACUGCAAGUACAAG